UUGCUUGCUUCAACAGCAGAUAUACUAAAAUUAGAAUGAUAAGAGAUUAGCAUCGUCCCUGCACAAAAAUGAUACACAAAUUUGCAAAAUUUAUUUACUUAUU